rnacentral:rRNA from 1 species
UUCCGGUUGAUCCUGCCGGAGGUCACUGCUAUUGGGAUUCGACUAAGCCAUGCGAGUCGAGAGGGUUCGGCCCUCGGCAGACGGCUCAGUAACACGUGGAUAAUCUGUCCUUAGGUGGAGGAUAAUCUCGGGAAACUGAGAAUAAUACUCCAUAGAUCUAGGAUGCUGGAAUGCACCUAGGUUGAAAGCUCCGGCGCCUAAGGGUGAGUCUGCGGACUAUCAGGCUGUAGUCAGGGUAAAGACCUGACUAACCUACGACGGAUACGGGUUGUGAGAGCAAUAACCCGGAGACGAUAUCUGAGACACGAUAUCGGGCCCUACGGGGCGCAGCAGGCGCGAAACCUUCACACUGUGCGAAAGCGCGAUGAGGGAAUCCCAAGUGCUUGCACGUAAGUGUAAGCUGUUUCUGUGUCUAAAAAGCAUAGAGAGUAAGAGCUGGGUAAGACGGGUGCCAGCCGCCGCGGUAAUACCUGCAGCUCAAGUGGUGACCAUUAUUAUUGGGCCUAAAACGUUCGUAGCCGGUUUAGUAAAUGCCUGGGUAAAUCGAGCCGCUUAACGGUUCGACUUCCGGGUAGACUGCUAAACUUGAGACCGGGAGAGGCUAGAGGUACUCCUGGGGUAGAGGUGAAAUUCUGUAAUCCUGGGGGGACCACCAGUGGCGAAGGCGUCUAGCUAGAACGGGUCUGACGGUGAGGGACGAAGCCCUGGGGCGCAAACCGGACUAGAUACCCGGGUAGUCCAGGGUGUAAACGCUGCUUGCUUGAUGUUAGUUGGGCUCUGAGCCCAAUUAGUGUCGGAGAGAAGUUGUUAAGCAAGCUGCCUGGGAAGUACGGUCGCAAGGCUGAAACUUAAAGGAAUUGGCGGGGGAGCACAGCAACGGGUGGAGCGUGCGGUUUAAUUGGAUUCAACGCCGGG